AUGAACUUGGAGCAGGUGUCCAAUGAGGAGAAGUUGAACCUAUGCCGGAAAUAUUACCUGGGUGGGUUUGCUUUCCUGCCUUUUCUCUGGUUGGUUAACAUCUUCUGGUUCUUCCAAGAGGCCUUCCUUGUCCUAGUCUACACAGAGCAGAGCCAAAGCAAAGGCUAUGUCUGGAGUUCAGCUGUGGGCUUCCUCUUCUGGGUCAUUGUGCUCACCACCUGGAUCACCAUCUUCCAGAUCUACAGGCCCCACUGGGGUGCCCUAGGGGACUACCUCUCCUUCACCAUACCCCUGGACACCCCCUGACAACUUCUGCACAGGCUGGGGACCUUCCCAUUCUCCCAGAAUAGGCUCUUUUGCCCUAAGAUUUGUUCCCAUGUCUUAUGUUUUCUGCUGACAUCCCCCAAUAAAGGACUCUAACUUUCAAAAAAAAAAAAAAAA